rnacentral:lncRNA from 1 species
AAUGUUUGUAAUUUUGGUGAAAAGGGGGACCCAGAGAAUAAUGGGUUCCAAGGUGGGAACUCGGGUGUGUCGAGGAUGGGAACGAAGCCAGAGACCAGAGGACCACCUGACAUGGUUAAACAGCCCUGGCUUAACGUUCCAGACACUGCUGCCAAUACUUGCGGCUGUUAGUUCCUGAUUUCUGCUUAAGAUCACUCAGAAGAGGAUCAGCUGCUGAUCAUACGUCUGACUCAGCUAUAUCUCAUUGCUAUGGCUCUUGGCCACAAGAUAUCUGACUCUGUGUCACCAGCCUAACAGAAGAUCACAUUGUGCUGCCAAAGCACAGAACACACCCAGCUUCUUGGAUUUCAUCUGUCUUGCAUUUCCUUAUGUAUCAGUUACAGGAAAAGCAGCAACUGAAAUACAGCUCUCAAAUGCUCUGGAUGGUAAAUAAAACAAGGCAUAUGCUAUAAUACCCUCUGAGA